rnacentral:rRNA from 1 species
GACGAACGCUGGCGGCGUGCUUAACACAUGCAAGUCGAACGGAAAGGCCCUGCUUUUGUGGGGUGCUCGAGUGGAAAACGGGAGAGUAACACGUGAGUAACCUGCCCUUGACUUUGGGAUAACUUCAGGAAACUGGGGCUAAUACCGGAUAGGAGCCCCUGCCGCAUGGUGGGGGUUGGAAAGUUUCGGCGGUUGGGGAUGGACUCGCGGCUUAUCAGCUUGUUGGGGGGGUAGUGGCUUACCAAGGCUUUGACGGGUAGCCGGCCUGAGAGGGUGACCGGCCACAUGGGGACUGGGAAACGGCCAGGCCUCCUACGGGGGGCAGCGUUGGGAAAUUUUGCCCAAUGGGCGGAAGCCUGUUGCGGCAACGCCGCGGGCGGGAUGACGGCCUUCGGGUGGUAAACCGCUUUGGCCUGGGACGAGGCGUGUGUGACGGUAGUGGGUAAAGAAGCACCGGCUAACUACGUG